AAGCGUCGUUCGGACCGC
rnacentral:snRNA from 1 species